CCUACGGGCGGCAGCAGUGGGGAAUCUUCCGCAAUGGACGAAAGUCUGACGGAGCAACGCCGCGUGAGUGAAGAAGGAUUUCGGUUCGUAAAGCUCUGUUGUUAGGGAAGAAUGGAUAUGUAGUAACUAUACAUAUAAGAGACGGUACCUAACCAGAAAGCCACGGCUAACUACGUGCCAGCAGCCGCGGUAAUACGUAGGUGGCAAGCGUUGUCCGGAAUUAUUGGGUGUAAAGCGCGCGCAGGUGGUUUAAUAAGUCUGAUGUGAAAGCCCACGGCUCAACCGUGGAGGGUCAUUGGAAACUGUUAAACUUGAGUGCAGGAGAGAAAAGUGGAAUUCCUAGUGUAGCGGUGAAAUGCGUAGAGAUUAGGAGGAACACCAGUGGCGAAGGCGGCUUUUUGGCCUGUAACUGACACUGAGGCGCGAAAGCGUGGGGAGCAAACAGGAUUAGAUACCCUUGUAGUC
rnacentral:rRNA from 1 species